GGAGAGCCUACAUUCUUGACUCUGCGAGUCACAGUGGUUGAGCCUGUGAGCUUUGGAACUGUGAUCGAAGGGUAGUUGAAUGUCGAUUCACUAAAAUGCUCAGGACAUGUAUAAGAAGCAUUUCCAAAUGAUCGUAUGAAGGAUAUGUUGUACUUAUGGUGACACAGAAGGUCUAGGUGAUCAUUCAAAGUUAAAUCAUAAACUAGGCCGGGAUCUGCUGCAAGGUUUGGACGUACAUGUCCAGCACCAUAUGCAAAUGGUGUUGCAGUUUUCCCAUCUGCAUCAAGUAUAGGCUUC
rnacentral:misc_RNA from 1 species